GACGAACGCUGGCGGCGUGCUUAACACAUGCAAGUCGAACGGAGUGGCGAACGGGUGAGUAACACGUGGGUGAUGUGCCUUGCACUUCGGGAUAAGCUUGGGAAACCGGGUCUAAUACCGGAUAGUGCAAGAUGAGCUCGGGGCCUAUCAGCUUGUUGGUGGGGUAAUGGCCUACCAAGGAGUCGACGGGUAGCCGGCCUGAGAGGGUGUACGGCCACAGUGGGACUAAGAGACGGCCCAGACACCUACGGGAGGCAGCAGUGGGGAGUAUUGCACAAUCGGCGGAAGACUGAUGCAGCGACGCCGGGUGGGUGGUGAAGGCCUUCGGGUUGUAAACUCCUUUCGACAGGGACGCGGUACCUGUAUAAGAAGCACCGGCUAACUCCGUGCCAGCAGCCGCGGUAAUUC
rnacentral:rRNA from 1 species